UACGAAGGGGGCUAGCGUUGCUCGGAAUCACUGGGCGUAAAGGGUGCGUAGGCGGGUCUUUAAGUCAGGGGUGAAAUCCUGGAGCUCAACUCCAGAACUGCCUUUGAUACUGAGGAUCUUGAGUACGGGAGAGGUGAGUGGAACUGCGAGUGUAGAGGUGAAAUUCGUAGAUAUUCGCAAGAACACCAGUGGCGAAGGCGGACUCACUGGGCCGUGACUGACGCUGAGGAGCGAAAGCGUGGGUAGCAAACAGG
rnacentral:rRNA from 1 species